GACAGAGGGGGCAAGCGUUGCUCGGAAUCACUGGGCGUAAAGGGCGCGUAGGCGGGAUGGCCCGUCGGUCGUGAAAUCCUUCGGCUCAACCGAAGAACGUCGGCCGAUACUGCCGUUCUUGAGGGAUGCAGAGGAGAUUGGAAUUCCCGGUGUAGCGGUGAAAUGUGUAGAGAUCGGGAGGAACACCGGUGGCGAAGGCGGGUCUCUGGGCAUCUCCUGACGCUGAGGCGCGAAAGCGUGGGGAGCAAACGGG
rnacentral:rRNA from 1 species